GGACCAUCAUGUCGGUCGUGCCUUUGGUACGUACUAGCUUAUUGAUUUCUCCCUUCUGACGAACCAUGAUGUCAUUAAUUUGGUGUCAUGGGGAAUCAGGACUGUUACUUUGAAAAAAUUAGAGUGUUUAAAGCAGGCUCACGCUUGAAUACAUUAGCAUGGAAUAACGGAAGAGGACGUUUGAUUCUAUUUUGUUGGUUUCUAGGAUCGACGUA
rnacentral:rRNA from 1 species